AGCUUCCGGCUUUGGUUUCCCUUAGUCCGCUCCCACCUCUGACGUGAGUCUGACGGGCAGAGCCUGUGAGAGGCCGCACAAGAGCAGGGUCUGCAUCUCUCCCGGCCCCACUAAGGAGAACAGAAGUGGCCGGAAGGAGUCGGGAGUCCCAUAGUUUCCUCUGCUUACUCUGUAUCUUCAGAACCUAUGCUGUGCCUGGAAUGCCAUCGGCACUCAGGAAAGAGAGAGAAGGAAAGUGUCCAGGUCCUGCACACCGUCUCACCUCACAGGUCCUGGGAGGGCCCAAGAAUUUGUGUCUCCAAGUUCUCAAGUGGUGCUGUUGUGGAGACCUCACUGCGAGACCCAGUGGAGCAGAAAGCGAAGGGGCAGAGGAGAAACUGACUGCUUCCGUUGGCCAUCGUCAAGGCGCAGCUCGCUUCCAGAGAUAAGCCUGCGCGGAAUCUGUUUUCUCUGGCGACAUGUGCUGCAGCCAGCAGGACAGCGGCUGAGUCACUGGCAGUGGUCUCCCCUGAGCCCCACCCCCAGCCCUCGUGGCCUCUGGGGCUUCUCCCUUUCCCGAGCACUUCCUGGCCUGACACACGUGUCCUGGGUGCUUCUGUCUGUGACUCAGGCUCAGCUGCCCCCACGUUGCUCCCACAACACUGGGCUGCCAGGGAGCAGCAUCUUCAAAUGAAAUCCUACCCAGAGGCUGAGUGGACAAGUCAAGGGAGAGGGGGCAGCUCCAGUUGAAUCAGGUGGAGAACCCAGGUGGAGAAGGUCCACCCGCCUGACGCCUCAUGCAGCCAGCUUCCUGCGUUCCCCCUUGAAGACCCUAACACGUUCAUGGAAUCCUCAGGUUGAAGACCAUCGCUGUCAAAGUGCCAAGAGCAUGCCCUCUUACCUGUAGUUCCACCUCCAAGACUCCAAAUACUCCCAGCUGAGUACACACAUUCAACACGGCUUUGUUUGUGACAGCAACUUAUAAAAAUGAAAACCAUUUAGUCCCCUGCCCUCUAUAUUGUCAGUGGAGAACAUAGGAAGAAGCUAGACCUCGCCCACUGCUUGGCAGGAAGAGUGCCUCCCUCCGCCUCCCAGCGGGGCAGCACCAUAGAAGGCUAGUGGUGCUGGGAUUCCCACGCUAGACCAGCAGUGAAUGGAGCUCCUCUCCCCUCGGGUGUCAACAAAGGCCAAGGGCAGGUCCUGAACUUCCACCUCUGCCUGGCAGGGGAGGUGCUGUGUCCCCCCUCUGCUGCCUUUUGUUGCAGGAUCAAUCUCAGAAAAAGCCAGCUAAAAUAUAAGUUUUCAAUAGGAUCCAGAUUCUCACAGCAUAAUACCCAAAGUGUCCAGGUUUCAGUUGGAAAUCACUCACCAUUGGAGCUAGGAAAAACCUCAACUUGAAUGAAAAAAGAAAAUCAUUACAUGCCAAUACUGAGAUGACAGAGACGUUGGAAUUAUCUGAUAAGGAUAAAAUGCCUCAAAGAGCAAUUAUAAGCACACUUGAAAAAUAGAAACUCUGUAUCACACGAUCCUGAAGUCUCACUCCUGGGCAUAUUUCCAAAGAAAAUUCUAAUUCAAAAAGAUACAUGCACUCCAAUGUUCAGAGCAGCACUAUUUUCAAGAAUCAAAACACAGAAGCAACCUAAAUGUCCAUCAAUAGAUGAAUGGAUAAAGAACAUGUGUAUACAUAUACAAUGGAAUAUUAUUCAGCCAGAAAGAAAAAUGAAAUAAUGCCAUUUUCAACAAUAUGGGAGGACCUGGAGGUUAUCAUAUUAUGUGAAGUCAGACAGAAAAACAAGUAUCAUAUAAUAU
ensembl:lncRNA